rnacentral:rRNA from 1 species
AAGCUUGCUUGUUGGGGUUGUAGGACACUCUAUACGGAGUUACAAAGGACGACAUUAGACGAAUCAUCUGGAAAGAUGAAUCAAAGAAGGCAAUAAUCCUGUAGUCGAAAAUGUUGUCUCUCUUGAGUGGAUCCUGAGUACGACGGAGCACGUGAAAUUCCGUCGGAAUCUGGGAGGACCAUCUCCUAAGGCUAAAUACUCUCUAGUGACCGAUAGUG